UACGUAGGGUGCAAGCGUUGUCCGGAAUUAUUGGGCGUAAAGAGCUUGUAGGCGGUUUGUCGCGUCUGCUGUGAAAAUCCCGGGGCUCAACCCCGGACUUGCAGUGGGUACGGGCAGACUGGAGUGUGGUAGGGGAGACUGGAAUUCCUGGUGUAGCGGUGGAAUGCGCAGAUAUCAGGAGGAACACCGAUGGCGAAGGCAGGUCUCUGGGCCACUACUGACGCUGAGAAGCGAAAGCAUGGGGAGCGAACAGG
rnacentral:rRNA from 1 species